rnacentral:lncRNA from 10 species
GGUUUCUGAGAUGGGUGGGGGAAGGGAAAGGAGGGGGAGGGUUGAACUUGGGUUAGCCAAAUUCCUCAAACGUUUGUAGCUGUAGAACCCCUUUUGUUUUAUUUGAAGCAUUUUUAAGAGACUAGUAAUCGAAGACCUUUCUUUGGGAAGCUGAUGUCUCACUCCCUGGGAGGAUGCUCAGCCUUGCCUGGCCUGGUGCCCUCAGAGAGCUGCCUUCUGUGGCUCUUGCGCUGGGGUCGGUAACAGCAGGAAGCCUGUUGACAGCAGCUCACUCCAUCUCCACAACGCUUCAGGAAGUGGGCAACGUGGAUGCUGCGCCUCCCAGUUUUCAGCACUGAGGGGAGAGUUUCUGUGACUUGUCAAGGUCACACAAUCAAAGGUCACAGAAGGGAGGGCACCAUGGGAGCCCAGGAUGUCCAUGCUCUUUCUACUCUGUCACUCAGCAUCGGCGGGUUUGGAAUCUUUAAUUUUGGGGGAUCCAUUUGGUCUAGAAAGUGUGGGUGCGGCCUGAGGUUGCCUGGGAGAGGCAGACAAAGCCGGCUGAGUGCCCCUGGGAGGGGGGUGCCUCAUGCAAGCUGUGCAAUGCCUCAGACAGGAGCGGGAGUGCCUCAUGCAGGCUGUGCAAUGCCCCAACAGUAGAGGGGGUGCCUCAUGCAGGCUGUGCAAUGCCUCAGACAGGAGAGGGGGGUGCCUCAUGCAGGCUGUGCAAUGCCCCAACAGGAGAGGGGGUGCCUCAUGCAGGGUCUGGUUUAGGAGGCAAGAGGCUGGAUUCAUGAACUGUGAGCGAGGGAAUUGAAUGUGGAGGAGGGGGCCUGAGUCCGGGAGGGGCAGAGAGCAGAUCCAGGAAAGGGUUCCUGUGCCUUGGAGUCCUGAUGGGCCAGAUGCGUCCCCGGUCUGAGCCCAGCCUGCAGUGCAGGCCCAGCUGGGUGGAGGCACCGCCCCGUGAAGACACCACCCCGGGGCUCCAGGCUGAUUCAGACCCUGGACGCCCCUUUACCGGGUCCUCACCUCCCACAUGCCAUCAGCUGCUGCUCCCUCUGGUAUUGUUUACUUCUCUCUGGGUUUAUUUACUCAGUCCCCAACCCCCUCAUUAUUGCCUUGUGUUAUCACCCAGAGUUUUACCGUGAGUAAAACCUACCUGUUUUGUUUCUUUGUUUCACAACUUUCUUAAAAGUGAAAAUAAAAAUAAGAAAGAAGUCAUUUGGAUGUUUACAAAAAAACAAAAC